AUCUACCGCCAUGCCACCCUGAACAAGCCUGAUGUCUGAUCUCAGAAGCUAAGCAGGGUUGAGCCUGAUUAGUACUUGGAUGAGAGACCACCUAGGAAGACCAGGUGCUGUAGGUA
rnacentral:rRNA from 1 species